rnacentral:rRNA from 1 species
ACUAACGCUGGCGGCGUGCCUAACACAUGCAAGUCGAACGAUUGUACACUUGUAGCAAUACUGGUGUGCUUUAGUGGCAGACGGGUGAGUAACGCGUAGAUAACGUGCCCUUUAGUAGGGGAUAGCCGUUGGAAACGACGGGUAAUACCAGAUUCGCUCGUGCGGGGACAUCCCCGUGCGAGGAAAGCAGCGAUGCGCUGGAGGAGCGGUCUGCGUCCUAUUAGCUAGUUGGUGGGGUAAUGGCCUACCAAGGCGACGAUGGGUAGCCGGUCUGAGAGGAUGAUCGGCCACACUGGCACUGAGAUACGGGCCAGACUCCUACGGGAGGCAGCAGUGAGGGAUUUUGCGCAAUGGGCGAAAGCCUGACGCAGCGACGCCGCGUGAGGGAUGAAGGCCUUCGGGUUGUAAACCUCUGUCAGUGGGGAAGAGUAAGGACGGUACCCGCUGAGGAAGCUUCGGCUAACUACGU